AUUGAACGCUGGCGGUAGGCCUAACACAUGCAAGUCGAACGGUAACGGACCGCUGGGAUUCCUUCGGGAUGACCUUGGUGCCGACGAGUGGCGACGGGUGAGGUAACACGUAGGAAUCUGCCCAACAGACGGGGGACAACCCCGGAGAAAUCCGGGCUAAUACCGCAUACGCCCUAUUGGGGAAAGCCGGGGGAUCUUCGGACCUCGCGCUGUUGGAGGAGCCUGCGUCGGAUUAGCUUGUUGGUGAGGUAAUGGCUCACCAAGGCUACGAUCCGUAGCUGGUCUGAGAGGAUGAUCAGCCACACUGGGACUGAGACACGGCCCAGACUCCUACGGGAGGCAGCAGUGGGGAAUAUUGCACAAUGGGCGAAAGCCUGAUGCAGCCAUACCGCGUGUGUGAAGAAGGCCUUCGGGUUGUAAAGCACUUUCGUUAGGGAAGAAAGGUGCGAGGUUAAUAACCUCGUACUGUGACGGUACCUAAAUAAGAAGCACCGGCUAACUCCGUG
rnacentral:rRNA from 1 species